CCUACGGGUGGCAGCAGUGGGGAAUAUUGGGCAAUGGGCGCAAGCCUGACCCAGCAACGCCGCGUGAAGGAUGAAGGUUUUCGGAUUGUAAACUUCUGUCGCGAGGGACGAAGAAUGACGGUACCUCGUAAGAAAGCCCCGGCGAACUUCGUGCCAGCCGCCGCGGUAAUACGGAGGGUGCAAGCGUUGUCCGGAAUGACGGGGUGUAAAGGGCGUGUAGGCGGCUUUGUAAGUUCGAUGUGAAAUCCUGCGGCUUAACCGGAGAACUGCAUGUUAAACUGUGGAGAUUGAGUACAGGAGAGGAAGGUGGAAUUCCUAGUGUAGCGGUGGAAUGCGUAGAUAUUAGGAGGAACACCAGAGGCGAAGGCGAUACGCUGGACAGUAACUGACGGUGAGGCGCGAAAGCGUGGGGAGCAAACAGGAUUAGAGACCCGUGUAGUC
rnacentral:rRNA from 1 species